rfam:Simian immunodeficiency virus isolate SIVcpzMB66, complete genome.
CUCUGGUAUCUAGAGAUCCCUCAGAUAACUGUAGUCUGUGCGGCCAAAAUCUCUAGCAGUGGCGCCCGAACAGGGACUUGAAAACGAAAGUAAGACCAGAG